UGGUUAUACUGAUUUUGCGUUUGAUAA
rnacentral:sRNA from 1 species